rnacentral:rRNA from 1 species
UGUGUCCGUUCGGGACAAGGAGACAGGUGGUGCAUGGUUGUCGUCAGCUCGUGUCGUGAGAUGUUGGGUUAAGUCCCGCAACGAGCGCAACCCUACGUUAGUUGCUAACAGGUGAAGCUGAGCACUCUAGACGAACUGCCGUUGACAAAACGGAGGAAGGUGGGAUGACGUCAAAUCAUCAUGCCCCUUAUGUUCUGGGCUACACACGUGCUACAAUGGCCGGUACAGACGGAGGCGAAGCCGCGAGGCGGAGCAAAUCCGAAAAAGCCGGUCUCAGUUCGGAUUGCAGGCUGCAAUUCGCCUGCAUGAAGUCGGAAUCGCUAGUAAUCGCAGGUCAGCAUACUGCGGUGAAUACGUUCCCGGGCCUU